UUCGAGGUCCGAGUUGUAAUUGNCAGAGGGUGCUUUGGUGUNGGCUGCGGUCUAAGUUCCUNGGAACAGGACGUCAUAGAGGGUGAGAAUCCCGUCUGUGGUCGCAUGUCUUCACCGUGUAAAGCCCCUUCGACGAGUCGAGUUGUUUGGGAAUGCAGCUCUAAAUGGGAGGUAAAUUUCUUCUAAAGCUAAAUACUGGCCAGAGACCGAUAGCGCACAAGUAGAGUGAUCGAAAGAUGAAAAGCACUUUGGAAAGAGAGUCAAACAGCACGUGAAAUUGUUGAAAGGGAAGCGCUUGCAGCCAGACUUGCUUGCAGUUGCUCAUCCGGGCGCUCGCCCGGUGCACUCUUCUGUAGGCAGGCCAGCAUCAGUUUGGGCGGUUGGAUAAAGGCCUCUGUCACGUAUCUUCUCCGGAAGACCUUAUAGGGGAGGCGUAAUGCAACCAGCCUGGACUGAGGUCCGCGCAUCUGCUAGGAUGCUGGCGUAAUGGCUGUAAGCGGCCCGUCUUGAAACACGGACCAAGGAGUCUAACAUCUAUGCGAGUGUUUGGGUGUCAAGCCCGAGCGCGCAAUGAAAGUGAACGGAGGUGGGAACCCUCGGGUGCACCAUCGACCGAUCCUGAUGUCUUCGGAUGGAUUUGAGUAAGAGCAUAGCUGUUGGGACCCGAAAGAUGGUGAACUAUGCUUGAAUAGGGUGAAGCCAGAGGAAACUCUGGUGGAGGCUCGCAGCGGUUCUGACGUGCAAAUCGAUCGUCAAAUUUGGGCAUAGGGGCGAAAGA
rnacentral:rRNA from 1 species